rnacentral:rRNA from 1 species
UUAACGGAGCACGGGAAGCAAUCCUGGGUGGCGUAAUGGCGAACGGGUGAGUAAUAUAUCGGAACGUGCCCCAGAUCGUGCGGGAUAACGCAGCGAAAGCUGUGCUAAUACCGGCAUACGAUCUACAGGAUGAAAGCGGGGGAUCGCAAGACCUCGCGCGAUUGGAGCGGCCAGAUAUCAGAUUAGCUAGUUGGUGAGGUAAAGGCUCACCAAGGCGACGGAUCUGUAGCUGGUCUGAAGAGGACAGACCAAGCCACGACGUGGAACUGAGGACACGGUCCAGACUCCUACGGGAGGCAGCAGUGGGGAAUUUUGGACAAUGGGCGCAAGCCUGAUCCAGCAAUGCCGCGUGCAGGAUGAAGGCCUUCGGGUUGUAAACUGCUUUUGUACGGAACGAAACGGUGAGCUCUAAUACAGUUUGCUAAUGACGGUACCGUAAGAAUAAGCACCGGCUAACUACGUGCCAGCAGCCGCGGUAAUACGUAGGGUGCGAGCGUUAAUCGGAAAAUCUACUGGGGCGUAAAGCGUGCGCAGGCGGUUCAUGUAACGACAGAUGUGAAAUCCCCGGGCUCAACCUGGGACCUUGCACAUUUGUGACUGCAUAAGCUAGCAGUACGGUACGACAGGGGGGAUUGGGAAUUCCCAGCGGUGUAGCAGGAGAAAUGCGUAGAUAUUGCGGAGGAACAACCGAUUGGCGAAGGCAAAUCCCCUUGCAACCUGUUCUUGACGCUCCCUGCACGAAAACCGUGGGGAGCCAACCGGGAUUAUCAUCACCCUUGGUAAACCACGCCCCUAAAAAUCUAAACAGGUGUUGGCUCUACACUGCACCAG